GUUCCUACUUAAGUUUGUUUUGUUGUCUUUGCUAACUUCAUAUUCUCGGCAGCAGAUCAGCAACCCUGUCCUAUGUGCAUGGACAUAUUUCCCUGUCACAUUAUUGAGGCACAUGCUGCUUCAUGCGGGGAAAGUGCAGGAAAUGAGGCAAUUGAGUGUAGUACUGUGAUGGAAGAAGAGCAAGCAGUAAUGCCUGGACCGUCCAGAAGCAGUGCAGCAGUUACAGACGACUGGCUCACCAUCCAAGACCCUACCAAGGCCAUGUCUCAGUUUCGGGAUUCCCUAUUGCACAUUUAUGAAAAGGAGAGUGCUUUGGUUCUCAGCAUGGAUACUAGAGAAACCCCUG